GCCGGAUGUGACGUUUCCGGAAGCUCAGAGUGUCGUCCGCCGGGACUGGUGGGGAAGUGUCCCGGGAUUUGGCGGGGGCCGGCGCCGAGCGUGGACCGAGUGUGGAGGCGAGCGGCCGCCAAUUUGGUCCUGAUGUUUGACCAUGGAGAUGUGAGCUGAGCCUUCCUGAGCCUUCCUACCGAAGACCGGGUGAGGGCCCUCUCCCAGAUGGGCAGCCCAGUGUGAAUAAAUGAAGAGAUUCCACCACAUCGGUACUUCUGCUCUGAAGUCGAGGUGAUCAGAAUGGCCUCCAUUUACUCUGAGGAAGGCAACACUGAACAUGUCUUCAUCCUUUAUAACAAGCACAUCACGGAACAUGGCUCCCUGGAAUUGGCAAGGCCCACGGAGGAAGCUUGUCUCCAGGGUGUGGGGCCUGCACUUGUGUGGGAGCCCUCAACCCGAGACUGCACGUUGAUCUCGAAGAUUCCUGGCAGCGAUUCUGAGAGGGGAGCGAGGAUGUCGGCUUGGCCCACCUUGUGUACUAGCAGGAAAACCGGAGGUCGGGGCGCCGUCUUACCCACGCGGAUUCGGCUCCAAACUACAUUUCCCAGGAGCCCCCGGGGGACCUGGUCUGCCUUUUCACUUGCCUGCGGCGCGCUCGUACUCCGGAGAAUUGGAAGUGCAAGGUGAGCGGUCUAGGUCCUGGGGUCCCGACCUGAUUGUUCCGGCUCGUCCCUGGAGUUCUACAGGUUUCAGAGAAAUUAUGUUGAAUCCAAUAAGCCUUCCCGGACAUACAUUCCAAGCCUCUUAACCAAGGCAUCUAUGUUGACGAUGUCAAUGUUUAUUUCAGCAAAGGACUUCAUGGCUUUUAAAAACUUCUUUUAAGCCUCCAUAUUCUGAUGUCACCUUGGUAGGCGGGGCCCUCUGAGAGCGGGCGGAGAGGGGGGCGGGGAGCUCUAGGCCCCUUGUCUUUGGAUCCGGGAAUGCUAAGUAGAAACUGCAUGAACCACCGGUGCCCCCCGCACCCUUUCCACCACCCAGCCCGGUGUUUCCCCGUCCACCACGGGCAGGCUGCCCCUUCCCUCCAGUCAGCACUGUGCUCCUCUUCUUCUGGCCUCUGAGGCAGCCCCUGCCACCCAUCUUUAGAGCCAAUAAAGAGAAUUAAACACCUGUGCACCAGGAGGCAUCUUUUACACCCACUAGACAUUCUCUGGCUUUCCAAAAACAACCCAACCAGCACGAGAAAGCUGAUGAGGCCCAGCCGUGCUCUGGCUUCACUUGCCCUGCUUGGAAGCGUGGGGUCUCCCUGGCUCUCCCUUGGACACCAGGCUCUCUUAGCGACCUCAUCGCCCUGCAGCCUCCAGUGGGGAAGAGCCUCUAAGCGGAGGUGGAGACGGCGUGGUGAGAGGAGGGGGGAGCCGGGCUCAAGUGUUGGCACCAGAUUAGGCCUCAGAGGAAAAGAAUGGAAACCAAUCAUUGUCUGUAUUUGUUUUGGUGGAGAAAACCAUCCCUUUUUUUUGGACACAUAUCCCCCCUACUCCCUCUUCUCUCUGGAAUGGUUCACAGUGAGUGUGAUGUUAGAAAACUCCUUGGAGAGGAAGAUUUCUCCAGGGCUGCUCCUUGGCCCCUAGAGCUGCAGUUCCGACAAGCUUUGGCUGCGGGAGGUCCUGCCUGUGAACUGACCGUGCCUCUAGGACCACAAGGGACCGAGGGAAUCAGGGACCGAGGCCCUUCCUGCUUGUCCAUGAUCCCGGGAUCUCUUCCCCCCACUUUCACUUAUUCUUGACUCUGAGAACUUUUGGAACCAAUGGAAUCACCAUUUCAAAGCCAAGAUGAACUGAAGGGGGAGAGAAGUAAGACUUGGCCUCCUCCAGCCCCUCUCGCGGCACCAAUGGAAGUGUCAUCCUAUUCUCUAGUCAAUGUAUGUGUUCACUUUGCUUGCUUUGACCCAUGCCUUACUCCAGGGCCACCCUCUCCCAAAGACGGGGUUUGUGUCCCCUGUUUUCAGCUAAUCCACUGGGGAGAGAGCGGGGGAUGCCUUCGCCUGCUCCGACAGGACAGGCACAGCGGUGGGGCCUGAACUGCUCCCAGGUCUGCAGCCAUGUUGGCUCAGUGCCCUUCGGGCUCGGCCUGCUCCCCGCAACCCGUGGUGCCUCCCUCGUGGGAGGUCAGCCCAGGCUGGAGCAGGGGGCCUCCCACGGAUGACUCUUAGGACUGAACGGUGGUGGUUCUUAACCUGCUAAGUUUUGGAGUGGAGUCGCACGACUAUAGAUAGCAGAUUCUCUGCCUCUGGCAAAUUUACAUGGGAAUUAAGAUCCCCACUUAGGAUUUUCCUUCCUGGGUCCUGUGGAUGGUGGUUCUUCAUGCCAGGUCCUCAGCCUGAAUCUGCGGAUACCUCCACGGGGUUUAAAAACAAAACUUUUUCCAAGUUCUUGCCCCAUAUCUGGGUGACCUCCCAGGCAGCUGAAUCCCCAGAGUGUCACAUGGGGAUUCAGGUUCUCUCCAGGGCCUUGAGGUGUGUGUUUCUUCAGCCCCUCCCAGCUCCCCACCAUCCUGCUCCCCAGUGCUUCCCGCCAGGCUGUCCCCCAUCAUGUCCUGCUGACCCUUUGGGCCAGGGCCACCUCCUGAGUGUGGCCUUAAGGAGUAAGCUUGAGGAUGAUGCUUUUUAAUUAUUGUAAAUCAUUACCUCAUUUCCAGCCUCCGAGGCUCCACCCAUCCCAGCAUCUUCUAUCCUGCCAUUUUCCUCACCUUGUGCUAUGACAAUGGGGUGUUGUGUUUCCACAGAGACUUAUAGGAGUGUUCAGUGUAUAGUUUCUUAAUAAACACUUUAUUUUCUA